GACGAACGCUGGCGGCGUGCUUAACACAUGCAAGUCGAACGGUAAGGCCUUUCGGGGUACCCGAGUGGCGAACGGGUGAGUAACACGUGGGUGAUCUGCCCUGCACUUCGGGAUAAGCCCGGGAAGCUGGGUCUAAUACCGGAUAGGACUGCGCGGUGCAUGCCGUGUGGUGGAAAGAUUUAUCGGUGCAGGAUGGGCCCGCGGCCUAUCAGCUUGUUGGUGGGGUAAUGGCCUACCAAGGCGACGACGGGUAGCCGGCCUGAGAGGGCGACCGGCCACACUGGGACUGAGACACGGCCCAGACUCCUACGGGAGGCAGCAGUGGGGAAUAUUGCACAAUGGGCGCAAGCCUGAUGCAGCGACGCCGCGUGAGGGAUGACGGCCUUCGGGUUGUAAACCUCUUUCAGCAGGGACGAAGCGUGAGUGACGGUACCUGCAGAAGAAGCACCGGCCAACUACGUG
rnacentral:rRNA from 1 species